rnacentral:rRNA from 1 species
GCCUACGGGGGGCAGCAGUAGGGAAUCUUCCACAAUGGGCGAAAGCCUGAUGGAGCAACGCCGCGUGGGUGAAGAAGGUCUUCGGAUCGUAAAACCCUGUUGUUAGAGAAGAAAGUGCGUGAGAGUAACUGUUCACGUUUCGACGGUACCUAACCAGAAAGCCACGGCUAACUACGUGCCAGCAGCCGCGGUAAUACGUAGGUGGCAAGCGUUAUCCGGAUUUAUUGGGCGUAAAGGGAACGCAGGCGGUCUUUUAAGUCUGAUGUGAAAGCCUUCGGCUUAACCGGAGUAGUGCAUUGGAAACU